UUAACAUGUAAGCUUAUUUUAGCCCUAAUUUUAACCUAACCCUAAUGCAUUAAUUUUACUGUUUUAACCCUAAUGCUUAAUUGUGUCAUGUUUAACCUAUUAAUCCUAUUUUUUUGUUGAAACAAAUCGGACCUAAUCUCCUAUUUCCCAAUUAACCUAACAAAACACCCUACUUUUCAUGCAAAGCCAUCUGAACCAAACAAACUUAUUUUCUUUCCUUUUGUUCUCUCUCUCCCCUCACACGGCCAUUUUUUAUUUAAUUAGAGAAAGUCACCCCAUUUUCAGACCCUCCUCUCUCUAUCUACGAUUCUUCUGCAACUCUCCCCCUUUUCUCUCACACACUUUCUCCCAAAACCAUGGUUGCUUCUUCUCUCUUUCUCCACCAAGCCUCCCUUAUGGGUCACGAUCUCCGAUCUCUUUCUUCCAUCUACCAAACUCUGAUAGCUCUCUCUCCAUUAUGAACACAGAUAGCCGCCGAAAAAUUUAUUUGUCGCACUGAUCCACGCACAUCUCGCCGACUCCGCAAAUGCCGCCGCAACAACAAAUGACCUUCGUAAUUGUCACCGGUUCUAAUGAAGGUCCACACAGUUAUAGUUACUUGAAUCAAGAGAAAAAGAGCACAGGCAGAGGUACUUGGUGUUGAUCCAAGAGAAGUUGAUGUUCCUGUGGUAGGAGGUCAUGCAGGAGUCACAAUAUUGCCUCUUUUAUCACAGGUUAAGUCUCCCAGUAGCUUCACUGCAGAAGAAACCGAAUACCUGACAAAUCGCAUUCAAAAUGGUGGAACAUAAGUUUUUAAGCUUUGGCAAAUAUUCAUGAGAACAAGAAACAACCACAAGAUGUAGAGUCAAUUGAUGGAGGAAUGUGAGGAAGGUGAUGAAGGACAGAAAUGUUGAUAAGUUAGUUGCCUGGUUAUAGUUGGCUUGAAAAGCCAUGUGAGAUCCUUGAAGGGAAGGAAGAGAAAGAGGUAGUUGCUGGGUUGGAUAUAUGACGCUAUAUAACGUGAGUGUAAUUUAUUAAGAUCUGAUACUGCACAUGCCCGUCAUAGUUUGAGAGGUAUAUAUGUUUCAUCUUUUUGUUGUUUGCUUCUUUCUCUAAUAUAUCUAUAAGAUCUUGAUAUAUGAGUCUCAAACGGAAAACUCGAAGGCAUUUUGUGUUAUUGUGACAUUGAGUUUUUUAUAUUUGGUGUUCAGAAGAAGAUUAUAUUUCUGAAAGUUUAUCGUAGUGAUUAUGUACAGUUUUUUUUUUUUUUUUUUUUUUCAAAUCUAAAAUCAGCCACAACGAUAGACAAUUAUGUUGUGUACUGUUUCCUUUCAGAAUUUUUUAUUGGUUGGAGUAAAAUGGACGUUAUUGAUAAGUAUAUUCCUACUUUUUAUUAGGUUGUUGCUAAGUAUUUUAGUCGAAACUGGCUUUGAUUGGAUUUGGAAUGAUGUUAAUAAUGGUAUAAAGCAGUUGAAUUUUUUAGGCCGCUUUAUAGGAAAUUCUGUUAUCGUUUUAUGCAUCAUUUUUUGUAAAAAAAAAAUUCAUUUUACAAUGUAAUCUGCUAAGAUGUGUCAUAUAUUGCUUUUUAUAGCCUAUUGUAGACUUAGGACCUAUGCUAAUUAAGGAAAUUGGUUAUUAGUUAUAUCGGUAUAUAAUGUUGAUUGAUGCUGCACUCAAUCAAUUUGAGAUCAUGGUUCAUAAGAAGAAUGACAAAUUAUGUUUAACUCAUGGCGUGAAUGAACUUAACAACACUUAUAAUUUGAAAUUUGGUGAGGAUUACAUUGGUAUGUGUUCACCCAAGAAUUUUUGUGAUUAUUGUUUAUGGACAUGAUGUUGAACCUAGAUUUUCUGGUAUUACUGCAUCAAUUGCUUACCACUAUGACCCCACAAAUUUUAAUUAUUCCGUCGUCAAAUGGUUGGAUUCAUCUACUGUUAGCUCUUGAUUUUUGACUUUCACUUAUGAUGGAUUAACUGUAUCAUCCACAAGGGUUGCAAAGAUUUAGAUUUGAUUGAUGAUCCGGUCAUUUUUUGAGAAUGCUUUUGGAGUUUGAUCCUGAGAACAAGACUACCAAAUUUGGAGGAUAUUGGAAAUGCUUAUAUGCAAGAAAGCUAUAGUGCACGGGAAAGUGGUAAAGAUUGGAUCAAUUGCUUUGGGGCUACAUUGGACUUCUUUACAUUACAUUACUAGAGUGAUUGCUUUCAUAGCAAUCAAAUUAAUAUUUAGUACCGUUGUUAUUUUCAUCAGUUUUAUGAACUAUCAUGCAAGCAUUGCAUUCUUUUUGUUUGUUUUUGCGUUUGACAAUGUUAACUUAUCUUUAAACAGAUGACUUUGUCUACAAUGAA